GGUGUGCUCAGGCUGCCGUCCUGGUGCCAUCUGAGUCUGAGUGUGGCGUCCCCACAGCCGGGGCCCCGCGGAGACGCCGCAGACUCGGGAGGGCAGCGCAGGGGACACGGGGCGGGGAGCUGUGGCCACUGUGGUUGUCUCUGGAUGGUGAUUUGGUCGCAUGAGAGACCCGGAUUGAGCAGGAGGGCUCAUCCUUUGACCUGAGACUCCACAUGCUGAGGAAACACUUCUCGGACUUCCUGGUUUGAAUAAUCCUGUCAGGUUUCAGAUUUGCCUGGUGUUUUGUGUGUGAGCACAUGAGAGAGCAUCCAUGCACAAUCCCAGUGUGCACAUGGAGGUCAAAGGACAAUCUCGGGUGUCACUCCUCAGCUACCUUGUUUGAGACAGGUCUCUCUGGUCAUCUGACACUGGACUGCAGACAGACUUCUGGAUAUUCACCUGUCUCUCUCAUCUCUGGACAGGAGCACGGGGAUUAUGGACCUAUGCUGGCCACACUGUCUUUGUUUGGGUUCUGGGAUUCGAACUCAGGUCCCCAUAAUGCAAGGGGCCCUUUAUCCCUUCAAUCUUCUUCCCAGACACUCUCUUUUCUUUAUGAGCGUCUACUCCUAUCUUUUCCCUAUUAAAGAUUUUUGUUGAUUAUUAAGUUUCAUUUUUGUUUUUGUGGCGGGGUCUUUCUAUGUAGUUUCACUGUCCUGGAACAGGCUAUGAAGAAUGGUGACUGUCACUAGCAGACCAAGAGAAUCUGAUAAACAAGCACACCCAAGUCAUCUUCAGAGUCUCUGCACUGUUAUGGACGGAUGUCUAAGGAGCCAGCUGCCCUGUGACAUGUGAGAGCCUCUGUAGAUGUCACAUGACACCUGCACAGCCACAGACAUGGAGACCAGAGCAGAGCUGCAGGUGUUUAUUAGAAUAAGCUUAGCAGACAGAACAAGGAGGGGACAGGCGUCUGGAUUCCAACUUCAGGAGGGAGAGAGG